UGGAGAGGUGGCAGAGCGGUUGAAUGCGGUAGUCUCGAAAACUAUUUUAGGGUAAAACCUAACGUGGGUUCAAAUCCCACCCUCUCCGU
rnacentral:tRNA from 1 species